rfam:Plasmodium berghei strain K173 genome assembly, contig: NODE_3471_length_480_cov_68.302086
UUGGUUCAGACAGUUGGUACAGCAAUUGGUUGACAAACCAGUGUUGCGAAGCUACGUCUGUUGGAUAAUGGCUGAACGCCUCUUAAGUCAGAACCCAUGCUGAUUAAACAAUAUUAUUUUGUCUUUUUUGUACAACUUUUACUGCGAAAUGUAAAAGAGAAAAUAUACAUAUUCAUAACCAAAAUGGUUAUAAUAUAAAUAUUCCUAUAAACUCAUAUAGUUGACUCUUAUUUUAUAUAAGAGUCUUCCUUAAUGAGCGAACGUAAUUUAACAACGAAAAAGAAAUACACAAACUGUAGACGACUUUUUAAUCUGGGGGUGCUGUAAACAUGAAAGUAAACCCUGUUUUACGAUCUGUUGAGGCUUAUCCUUCCUGAUAAAGUGUUA